AGUGAACGCUGGCGGUAGGCCUAACACAUGCAAGUCGAACGGCAGCACAGUAAGAGCUUGCUCUUACGGGUGGCGAGUGGCGGACGGGUGAGGAAUACAUCGGAAUCUACUUUUUCGUGGGGGAUAACGUAGGGAAACUUACGCUAAUACCGCGUACGACCUACGGGUGAAAGCAGGGGAUCUUCGGACCUUGCGCGAUUGAAUGAGCCGAUGCCGGAUUAGCUAGUUGGCGGGGUAAAGGCCCACCAAGGCGACGAUCCGUAGCUGGUCUGAGAGGAUGAUCAGCCACACUGGAACUGAGACACGGUCCAGACUCCUACGGGAGGCAGCAGUGGGGAAUAUUGGACAAUGGGCGCAAGCCUGAUCCAGCCAUACCGCGUGGGUGAAGAAGGCCUUCGGGUUGUAAAGCCCUUUUGUUGGGAAAGAAAAGCAGCAGGUUAAUACCCCGCUGUUCUGACGGUACCCAAAGAAUAAGCACCGGCUAACUUCGUG
rnacentral:rRNA from 1 species